rnacentral:rRNA from 1 species
GGACGAACGCUGGCGGCGUGCUUAACACAUGCAAGUCGAACGGAAAGGCCCUGCUUUUGUGGGGUGCUCGAGUGGCGAACGGGUGAGUAACACGUGAGUAACCUGCCCUUGACUUUGGGAUAACUUCAGGAAACUGGGGCUAAUACCGGAUAGGAGCUCCUGCUGCAUGGUGGGGGUUGGAAAGUUUCGGCGGUUGGGGAUGGACUCGCGGCUUAUCAGCUUGUUGGUGGGGUAGUGGCUUACCAAGGCUUUGACGGGUAGCCGGCCUGAGAGGGUGACCGGCCACAUUGGGACUGAGAUACGGCCCAGACUCCUACGGGAGGCAGCAGUGGGGAAUAUUGCACAAUGGGCGGAAGCCUGAUGCAGCAACGCCGCGUGCGGGAUGACGGCCUUCGGGUUGUAAACCGCUUUCGCCUGUGACGAAGCGUGAGUGACGGUAAUGGGUAAAGAAGCACCGGCUAACUACGUGCCAGCAGCCGCGGUGAUACGUAGGGUGCGAGCGUUGUCCGGAUUUAUUGGGCGUAAAGGGCUCGUAGGUGGUUGAUCGCGUCGGAAGUGUAAUCUUGGGGCUUAACCCUGAGCGUGCUUUCGAUACGGGUUGACUUGAGGAAGGUAGGGGAGAAUGGAAUUCCUGGUGGAGCGGUGGAAUGCGCAGAUAUCAGGAGGAACACCAGUGGCGAAGGCGGUUCUCUGGGCCUUUCCUGACGCUGAGGAGCGAAAGCGUGGGGAGCGAACAGGCUUAGAUACCCUGGUAGUCCACGCCUGUAAACGGUGGGUACUAGGUGUGGGGUCCAUUCCACGGGUUCCGUGCCGUAGCUAACGCUUUUAAGUACCCCGCUUGGGGAGUACGGCCGCAAGGCUAAAACUCAAAGGAAUUGACGGGGCCCCGCACAAGCGGCGGAGCAUGCGGAUUAAUUCGAUGCAACGCGUAGAACCUUACCUGGGUUUGACAUGGAUCGGGAGUGCUCAGAGAUGGGUGUGCCUCUUUUGGGGUCGGUUCACAGGUGGUGCAUGACUGUCGUCAGCUCGUGUCGUGAGAUGUUGGGUUAAGUCCCGCAACGAGCGCAACCCUUGUUCACUGUUGCCAGCACGUUAUGGUGGGGACUCAGUGGAGACCGCCGGGGUCAACUCGGAGGAAGGUGGGGAUGACGUCAAGUCAUCAUGCCCCUUAUGUCCAGGGCUUCACGCAUGCUACAAUGGCUGGUACAGAGAGUGGCGAGCCUGUGAGGGUGAGCGAAUCUUGGAAAGCCGGUCUCAGUUCGGAUUGGGGUCUGCAACUCGACCUCAUGAAGUCGGAGUCGCUAGUAAUCGCAGAUCAGCAACGCUGCGGUGAAUACGUUCCCGGGGCUUGUACACACCGCCCGUCAAGUCAUGAAAGUUGGUAACACCCGAAGCCGAAGGCCUAACCGUUGUGGGGGAGCCGUCGAAGGU